rnacentral:lncRNA from 1 species
AGUCUCACUCUGUCACCCAAGCUGGAGUGCAGUGGCAUGAUCUUGGUCCACCGCAAUCUUCGCCUCCCGGAUUCAAACAACUCUUGUGCCUCAGCCUCUGGAGUAGGUAGGAUUACAGGGGACUGGAUCCUGUCCAUAACUGCUGACCAGUUUCUGGAUGGGCUGCUGCACAUCACCCACUUUUGCCUAAGAUCUCACCUAAGCUACCAGAGUAUUGUGAAAGAAGAAACACUGUUGUCGAAGGCUGCUGAUAUUGCCUAUUAGCCAGAAGAAAGAACCUGAAUCAUUCAAAGGUUUUCCAUCUGGCAAAGAAGUCCAGAAGUACUGGACCGUCUGCCUAGAUCUGCAUGUGCUAAGUAUCCAAGUAAGUUGGAGCAACAUAUCAACGGCAACCAGUGAAGAAAUGAAAGUUCAUCAGCUAAAAACUUUGGAGUUAGACAUAUGGAAAGCCCGUCCUAAGGGAAGAAUCAGAGGAGAAGGGAUACAAGACCCCAGGAGCACACCCAGCGCCUUAAUAUGCAUGCUUCGUCUCUCUAAAAUGGUGGAACCUGUUUGUUUACCUGUCUGUAGCAGACACAGGAGUUGUCCUCACACUGUGCGUCCUGACUUCCACAGGAAUUUGAGUUGUAGCUGCAAUGCAGCUACCAACCAGGGAUACAGUUUCUCAGCCCCACGCCUUGCACCUACAGCUAAGUGUGGCCUUGUGACUGGUUUUCAUCAAUUAAGUAUGAAUAGAAACAAAGUGCACCACCUUCAUUUGGAGGCUUCGAAGAAGCAAGGGUACCCUUCAUUUGCUCUCUUUCGCCUUGUGCUGGGGGGAUACAGAUGA